GGAAGGAUCAUUCACACAAAUUUGUUAGCAUACCAAACCAUGAACUCGUGUCCCAUUUUGUUUUUUUUCCUUGCAACAUGUUCGUUGCCAGGCAAUGCGGAGUGUUUCGGCCCUCUGUGUUGUCCUGAUAGGAUUGGGACGACAAAGCCAGUCGGUCUCCUGCUCGUGGAAGUAGGUGGAAUUGCCCAGAAAAAUAAAUUAUAAACUUUCAGCAAUGGACGUCUUGGUUCCCAAUUCGAUGAAGGACGCAGCGAAUUGCGAUAAGCAGUGCGAAUUGCAGAAAUCUGUGAACCAUCAGACCUCUGAACGCAUACGGCACUCAUGAGACCCGUUCUCAGAGUGUGUUUGGCUCAGUGUCUCUAUAAUUCUAAUAUCAUACUUUAGUGCUGACGUCGUGCUUUUCAUUUUAAUGUUAUGGCUCCGUCGUCGAAGAAAUUCUCAACAUGUUUGUUCUCCGCAAUUGGGUUAAGUUAUUUGAACAUUCCAUAAUUGCAGGUGCACACUUUUGAAUGCUUAAUAUUUUCGACAUGACCUGAGCUCAAGCAAGGCAACCCGCUGAAUUUAAGCAUAUAAUUAAGCGGAGGAAAAGAAACUAAGCAGGAUUCUCUUAGUAGUGGCGAAUGAACAGGGAUAAGCCCAAAAUGAAAAUCACGUGCUUUCAGUGCGUGAAUUGUAGUCUGAAGAAGUGUUUCCAGUGGACGUCGCAGAGAAAAGUCUCUUGGAAGAGAACGCCAGAGAGGGUGAGAGUCCCGUCGCUGUUCUGCAGUGCGUCUACAUACGGAGCACUUUCUUAGAGUCGCGUUUCUUGGGAGUGAAACGCAAAGUGGGUGGUAAACUUCAUCUAAGGCUAAAUAGAACAUGGGAAACCGAUAGCAAAUAAGUACCUUGAGGGAAAGAUGAAAAGGACUUUGAAAAGAGAGUUAAAAUUCCCCGAAAUUGCUGAAAAGGAAGCGGUUGAAAUGCAAGUGUACAGCCUUGGAAAUAAGUUGUUUUGAGGUAUGAUUACUGUUGCAUUCACUUAACUGGCUUGCAAUGGCCAAUCUUGCUUACAGGCAAUGGAUUUUCCAGGAGGAAUCAGCUGCGGUUGGUGCUGUUGCGUGGGGUUGUUUGACGGACGUGUUCUUAGGAAUCGUUGCUGCUUGCUUCUUUCAACGAACGGUUGCCGACCGAGGAAAACGCGCUCUGGGUUCGCCUGGUUCGCUGCGUAGCUGAUGAAAGAAUUUCCACCGGCCCGUCUUGAAACACGGAUCAAGGAGUCCAACAUAUAUGCGUGUCCGCGGGUAGACAAUCCUGUGGGCGAAAUGAAAGUGAACGGUUCCGUCCAGGAACGACCGACCACAAUCGCCGAGAGAGGUUUGAGUACGAGCAUAUCUGUUGGGACCCGAAAGAUGGUGAACUAUUCCUGAAUAGGGUGAAGCCAGGGGAAACCCUGGUGGAGGCUCGUAGCGAUACUGACGUGCAAAUCGUUCGUCAAAUUUGGGUAUAGGGGCGAAAGACUAAUCGAACCAUCUAGUAGCUGGUUCCCUC
rnacentral:misc_RNA from 1 species